CUUCUGUGAUGAAUCAAACUAGUUUACUAUGAAUUAAACAAUGAAAAGAUAUGAACACCUGAGAAAC
ensembl:snoRNA SNORD29 Small nucleolar RNA SNORD29